rnacentral:rRNA from 1 species
GACGAACGCUGGCGGCGUGCUUAACACAUGCAAGUCGAACGGUGAAGCGAGUGCUUGCACUCGUGGAUCAGUGGCGAACGGGUGAGUAACACGUGAGUAACCUGCCCAUCACUCUGGGAUAAGCACUGGAAACGGUGUCUAAUACUGGAUACGACCAACCCUUGCAUGGGGUGUUGGUGGAAAGAUUUGUCGGUGAUGGAUGGACUCGCGGCCUAUCAGCUUGUUGGCGGGGUAAUGGCCCACCAAGGCGACGACGGGUAGCCGGCCUGAGAGGGUGACCGACCACACUGGGACUGAGACACGGCACAGACUCGUACGGGAGGCAGCAGUGGAGAAUAUUGCACAGUGGGCGAAAGCCUGAUGCAGCGACGCCGCGUGGGGGAUGACGGCCUUCGGGUUGUAAACCUCUUUCAGCAGGGAAGAAGCGAAAGUGACGGUACCUGCAGAAGAAGCACCGGCUAACUACGUG